rnacentral:piRNA from 1 species
UUGUGAUCAGUAAAAGGUAAU